rnacentral:lncRNA from 1 species
CUUUCCAAAACACACUUCCAAGUCCUCUCCAGCUUUUCAUUUUCUUGGGGCCUAAUUUUUCCUUUUUAAAUUUUCUCCAGUCAGAGAGGGCACCUAAUUCCUUUAUUUCCCUUUACUCUUGUGUACUGGCUGGUUGUCCUCCAUUCUCUUUGUUUACAUCCAUCGCUGCCUCCUUUCUUCCCAGUCUUUCCGGCUCUGGGUUUGCAUCCCUGCCCUCAGUGUCUCCCAGUUUCCUUGCUUUCUUUUAUUUCCCUCCUGAUUGCUGCCUCCCCAGUUCUUACCAGCUCUCUGUCCCAGUCCUUUCCUGUCAAAGAUGGCAGACUCCUCCAAUGCCACCGCUCCCCUACCCAUCUGCCCGGAGUCUUCCCUUCUCUCUCCCUCCCUGCUGGCUCUUUUGGCCAUCCCCCUUCCCUGCAUAAUCUUUAUUGCUUGCAUGACUGCUCAGGUUCUUUAUCCCAUCUUCCCCUCAAAGGCAUUCGCAGCUCCGCUGUUAUUCUUGUAUUAGCAUUGAACCCAUUAAAGCUAAUUUGUUUGCCCUAAUCUCCAUUUAUUUUUCCCUAGUUGAUAUUAGAUUUCCCUUUCUAUUGCUCCAGCAUGAUUUUCUCUUUGUCUUCCUAAUGGUCUACCCCCCUCUCUCUUCCUCUAUUAAUCUGGUUGGCUUCACUGUGUGGUUUCAAGGCCUUUCUCCGCCUCCCCCAGCCCUUAGAUUAACCCUGUCACCUCCCUCCCAAGAAGGGCUUCAGUGUGUGGAUUUUUAGGGAUGGAGCUGCUUCAAAUGUCAAUAGACCUCUAAGCUCCUUAAGAAAAGUACUACUUGACAUGAGGCCCUGCCUUUUCCUGGAGCCAAGCUGGAGACCUUGGGAGCACAGGGGCCAGAGAGCUUGAGGCAAGUGAGACACACAUGGGCUGCUCUGAGCCUGAAGGUCACCAAGUCCAAGGGUUCCCUGGGUAGGGUUGCCUUUGGUGCUGUCUCAGAGAUUUCUGGAGGUCUCUUCACGCUGUCUUAGAUCCUAUAAAUUAUAUCAGCAAUAUAAGGUAUAUAAAGUAACAGCAGAUGAGCCACUUUCUCCCUCUGAGAUUGGGCACCAUUUCCCAAGCAGGGGACUCACUUCCUUUCCUUCCUGCAGGAGUGAUGCUUCCCCCUCUGUGAAUGUGGCUUUGGGUAUGGCUAAUCCACACCCUGCACUCUGGCCUUCAGAAGCCCAGGGAGAGAAGCCUCCCAGAAGCAACCUUCCAGAACCUUCUCCAUCCUCCCACCGACCUCCCCAGCCCCUGUCCUCUCUUUGAAUCUCGUUGUCAAGUUCUUCCCGCAGACACCUGGCUCCUUGAGGGGAGGUGCAGCUUUCAUCUGACCAUGCAGGCGUGCUUUGCAGUGGGUAGAGCAGUGCUUUCCUCCUCCCAGCUGCACACUGGAAUCACCUGGAGAGUCCAGAAACUUCCCGCCUCAGUGAAAGAACAUCAGUGUAUCAGCACAGCAAAUAUUCCAAAUGCCAGGCUGGAUUCCCUCCAAUUACCAGGACCUCCAGGCUUCUCCUCCUUUCAAGAACUUUCUGACCCUGGAUCCAGUCUAAAUGUUGGUUAUAAACUCACCUGACAUCCACAGGGCCCUUCCAAAAUACUGUCAAGGCUGACUGCUGGUGCCUGGAACCUGCACACCCUCCUGGGACUCUGCAUCUCUGCUGGGGCUGGUUUCUCCUCUGAGCCACCUUAAGGAAUCCCACCCUGACCCGGUCAGAGCUCACCAUGCCUCCCUCUCCUACUUGCUCAGCAUUUUGUGUCUAUCUAGACUGAAGCCUUUGCUUUCUCUCUGUGAUUAUGGUGAAAGUUCAGUUUGCUUUCCUAUCUCUAGAAUGUCAGCACGAAGGCAGAGGCAUGGUCUCCUGAGUUCCAUAACCCCAAAGCCUAACUCCCUGCCUGCCACACUGAGGGGCUUAGUAGACAUUGACUUACUAAAUUGAAUAGUUGAGUAAUAAUGCUCUUUGAAAUAAUUUGGAGUUAGAUCUUGAGCCUUGUGUGGCCAGAGGAUGGGUGAGGACACAUCAUAAAAACUAAAGGUAACUGAGCAUGCCAGUGGUUGGGGUGAGAAAUUUGCAUGGAGCACUCCAGACACAGAGGCAGCAAAACCCAAGUGCUGGGAAGUCAGAGUGAGAGAGUGAAGGGGCAGUGAGUGCUUCUUUAGGAGCUGGAUCAAAACCUAAGAUGAUCUGGCCACAUGGUGCAGACUGAGCACACACUUGGGAGAGAAAUGGGCCAGGAGGAGAGGAGAGAGGUUCACCACAGGACAGUGGAUGACUGGGAAUAGAAGCCCUCCCCAUGGUGGACCAAGAAGUCUGUGAAGCUGAGAGAAAGACAAAAGAAAUCACGACUUCUGUAGGUAGCUGGGAUGGAAACCUCAGGGGUGACAGGGUCUUUAAAGGAAAUCUCAAGGAAGGCAUCAUGUUCUGGGUGUGCUCCAGGGAUGCUGAGUAAGAAAAGACCAGCCUUUCUGUGUGUGUCUUUACUCUGCCACAAGGCACCUGGGCUCCUAAAUGACCAAUACACAUGUGCUAUACUGGUGCCAAGAAAGAAGGGUGUUUUGUAGGAAAGUCAAGGUGAGAGGAGGUGCCCAGGACUUGGCUCCUUUCUUUGAAGGGUGACGGUGUAAAUUCUCCAUGCUGGGGAUCCUACUGAUGGAUGGAGGCAUGUCGAUCUCAUCAUUUCACAGAGUGGGGAGCUAUGGCCACAACGUGCCUAUCACACAAGUCCAGCCUCACGUCAGCUGGACACCAGCUGUUCUGACACUUGUCAGCACAUGGGGCACCCGGAAGUUCAUGGUGUUCUGCAAAGAACGCCACAAAACAGUGAGCUCAACUUCUUGAAAGUCAUAAUGUGUUGCUAAGUCCGAUCCCAGAUCCUAAAAAUAAUAUGAGGUAGUGGCCAUUGAACAGAAAAAAUUUACAUCUUAAACUUGAAGAUAAGUACAAGUGUACCUUUUUCUACCACUGUUGUUCAGUUUUAUUAUAUUGACAAGCACCUCUGCCCACCCUGUGGGGUAAAACUGUUUGAAAGUGUUUAUGAAAGUUUUAUAUAAAUAUUGGUUGAUCAAAUGUACAAAAUAUGCAUGAUGGCACCAUAUUGUGUAUAAUAGUGACAAAUACAGUCUAUGUGGGUGGAGAAACAAGCUCGGUGUUGUGCAUGCGGCUGUGGUUUGUGUUCACACUUCUCCUUUAGAGUGUAGUAGACAGAACAUGCCUGAACUGCCUGGGGCUGAGGGGUCUCAGGCGCAGAGUGGCCCAGGAAUUCUGAGCAAGGACAGAAUGUUAGAGAGAAUAUCCUGAGCUGAGCAGAGAGGCCUGCCCAUGCUAGCUGGCAGCCACCUGCCUUCAGUGCUUCAUUCUUGGGGGACCUUGAGGCCAGUUCUUGAGUGGAUGAGUCCUGCCGCUACUGCUGCUGCCCACUUGGUAGCUCUGUCCUCAUCUGGGAAGAGCCACUGUGAACCCCAGAGACCUAGUGGUGCUAGGGGCUGAUGCAGGCAAAUGACUGGCUGCCCCUGGAUCUUAUGUGAAAACAAGAAUGCUGGACCAAAAGGUCUCUACAGGGCUCCAUGACUACCCAUGACCCGUAACUUCAGUGAGGAGCUAGUGGCCAGGAGGGGCUCAUGGUUGGACACUGGUAUUCCUCUACUCAGACCUUAAACCACAGGUUGCAAGAACAGGGAGGUCACAUGUCAGUGACCUCAUGCCUAAAUAGAUGCAUAGCACAGAGCAGAUUCCUGGAUAGCUUACACCCUACUUUCCCCAGUGCAUCGAUUAUGACUUCCUUUCUAGCAACUGUGAGUACAGCCGGGACUCAUCAAUCACACCUGUAACUUCCCAGCUGCAUUUCUCAGGGUCUCUGAAAGCAGGGCCUUCUCUGGUCUUUUUAAAUUACCCACAGACCUAGGACAGUCUUCUGCACAUACUUCUACAUUUUAAAGGCUUACUUUUAGUAUGUUUAUGUGUGUGAGAUGGGGAAUAUUGUAUUCAUGUGUGCAUGUAUAUGUCUGUGAGUACUGUGGUCUGUGUGUGUAACUGGGUAUGACUGUGUGUGUCAUAUGGAUACAGGGGACUAGAAUGAGGACAGCCAGGUGUCCAGGCUAUAAGAUCUAAGGAGGCACUUGCUCUCAGGGCCAACCCUGCCCUUGCGUGAGCCUGAGAGAGAGAGCCUCCUGGAAUUUUGCACCUUGAGUGCCUUCCUGCUUCACCCUAAUCCCCCCGGUUGUCUGUAUGUUUGGAUGUGAGUGUUGUACAUAUGCUGUGUAUGUGUGUGCAUGCAUGUGAGUGUGCAUGGGUGUGUGUCUGUAUGUCUCAGCAGCUGUC